GCCAUUUUUACUGCAUCGAGUGUCAAAACGGCAGCCUCAAUUUCCCCGUUUGAAGCAUUUCGGGCGACCGUGACAUCCGCGCGUUUCUUGCCAUUAACCUGCACUGGCAGCGUAAUUGUGUCAUCGACCAGCAAUUUGGCUUCGGUUUCGGGCCAAUUUGCCUCCGAAACCAGCUCCUGGUGUCCCAGGGCCUGCCAGCAUUGCUCGGCCAGAUGCGGCAUCAUCGGGGAAAUCAGCCGGACCA
rnacentral:misc_RNA from 1 species